rnacentral:lncRNA from 1 species
UGAGAUAAUGUGGUGCCACAUCUCAUGAUGUAAAUUUGCAUGUCACUGUAUGUUUCUUCUUUUCUUCUGCCUUUUUUUUCUUUAUAAUGAGUCCAGGCUAAUGCUUUGAUGGUAGAAUAAUACUUACUGUGGUAUAAAGGAUUCCAGCAACAUCAAACCUUCCCUUACACAAACCUACAUUUUAAAACCAGUUUGUUAAUUAAAUGGAAAUAUCUGCUGUCCCCAAUUUACAAGUCCUUUUAGGUCAAAAAAAAAAUGGAACUUAUGCAUAAAGCAAAAUAGCGUGUCUUGCAUUGACAUGGAGCCGAUCCGAUCGAUCAUGAUCGCUUCCCAACUCUUGAAAACAGAACAUAACUAAACCAAACUAGUUCAGAGUUAAAUCAGAUAAACUCAAUUCAAGAUCCGGAAAUUCGGUGAAAUUCAGCACAAACAGGCGAGAGCAGAAAAUGACAUAUACCAACAUAUUACAUGUUUAUUUGCAAACAUAUUUUAGGCUAAAUUGGCAAGGAGAAUGUGCAUUUAGGGGUGUAAUUGAUGAGGGAUUUGGUUUGUGUCAAGUUGAGACAUGGGUACCAUAGGAAAACUAUCAAUGCA